AACCGCAUGGUUCAAUCAUAAAAGGUGGCUUUUAGCUACCACUUGCAGAUGGACCCGCGGCGCAUUAGCUAGUUGGUGAGGUAACGGCUCACCAAGGCGACGAUGCGUAGCCGACCUGAGAGGGUGAUCGGCCACACUGGGACUGAGACACGGCCCAGACUCCUACGGGAGGCAGCAGUAGGGAAUCUUCCGCAAUGGACGAAAGUCUGACGGAGCAACGCCGCGUGAGUGAUGAAGGUUUUCGGAUCGUAAAACUCUGUUGUUAGGGAAGAACAAGUACCGUUCGAAUAGGGCGGUACCUUGACGGUACCUAACCAGAAAGCCACGGCUAACUACGUGCCAGCAGCCGCGGUAAUACGUAGGUGGCAAGCGUUGUCCGGAAUUAUUGGGCGUAAAGCGCGCGCAGGCGGUUUCUUAAGUCUGAUGUGAAAGCCCCCGGCUCAACCGGGGAGGGUCAUUGGAAACUGGGGAACUUGAGUGCAGAAGAGGAGAGUGGAUUCCACGUGUAGCGGUGAAAUGCGUAGAGAUGUGGAGGAACACCAGUGGCGAAGGCG
rnacentral:rRNA from 1 species